CCUGCCUACCUCACUCAUGCACAGAAAACACACAGUCCUCUCUCUCUCUCUCUCUCUCUCUCAGCCUUGCUGCGCCUCACCAGAAAGCAGAUCAUUUUUCAACACCUGUGCAGCUCACUGCUUGUAUGUUUACUUCCUGAAGCUUCUGGCACACCUGGACCUGAGCUCCCCUCCAUCCUUCCUCUCUGCUCUCCGGUUUGUUUGUUUUUUUUUUUCUUCUUUUCUUCCCUCUUUGGCUGUUAGGUCUCCAAUCUCUUUCCAACUCUAUUCAUAUGAAUAUCGAAUGAAAUUGAAUAAUACGAGGCCAGUCGGAGUGCAAGUUUCAACAGAGAAAACAGCGGUUACAGCUGGUUUUGUGACCUACUGGAGUCUGAUUGGAUUGGAAACACAUUUUUAUACCUCAUCUUUUUUUCAGUGUCGACACUGCCAACACUCUUUGCACUCUCAUAUCCUAAUAACACUAUAAAUAUCUACUUUAAUAUAGCACCUCUAGAGGGAUUAUGAGAAUCAUGACACAGUCAGGUGACAGGAGAUAUACAUAUAUAACUAACUGCUGAGUUUGUGUUGAAAUGAUUAAGAUUUUAGAUCUAGAACUUUAGAUUUUUGUGUGUUUAACAUGACUUCAGUGCUCUUUGCAGGAGAGUUCUUGCAGAUCCAGAUGAUUCAGUGCUCAGAAUCAAUUGGUUGAAUUUGGCUCUUCAGUCGCACAAAAUCUUUCAUCUCCAGAAAAUAAAGCUAAGAGGACGCGUCCUAUCGUGUUUCCAUGAAUGCGCGUGAGUGUGUGUCUAUGCGUGCGCUCCUGAUCCUGUGUGCAGGCCUGGCAUAGUGUGGUGCAGUGCAGAGUGGAGAGGAGAGACAGCUGCCCUGACAGAUGCCGGGAGGCAGGACCCCACUGGGAAGCAGAGGGAGGGAGCUGGCACUGUCUCACCCCAGCGGAAGCACCAUAGGCUGCAGAGGAAGUGGGCAGGGGGACAAACCAGGGGCUCAGUGUG